GUUAAAGUAUGCUCAUAGUAUUUUCUUUCUGAAUAUUACUGCUGACUUUGUGGUGAUUCUUUGCAAGUGGAUAUGAGCUCCGACCCAAUAUGUCUGUCCAGCCAACUUUUUAAGUUCGACAAGGGCAUUCUGGGUUUUGAUAAGAUAAGAGGUUACAUAAAGGAAUAACACAAACUGAGUGUCCCAUCCCUCACCACCAUGAUACAAACCCACUCUUUGUCUUUAUGAGUGGUCCAUCCAGCCUGCAGUCAGAACCGGGUCCAAGCUCCACUGCCAGAGUCAGAUCCACAAGGACUGGUGACCUCCAGCCUGCAGUCAGAACCGGGUCCAGCCUCCACCACCACAGCCAGCCCACAGGGACUAGUGUCCUUUCCUCUGUAAUUAAUCUAUCUGCUGAGCCUCAUCUCUCUCUCUCUCUCUCUCUUAACCUACUCACAUAUCUGUAGAAAUAACAAACCCUGCACGGUCUCUCCUUAAACAUCUCCCCAUAAUUGCCAGUGAUAUUCGUGUUCACUCCAUUAAGUUGACCACACCGAGUGGGACGCCAGAGAGGGAAGAUGGAUCAGCUGCUAGCGUUGAGAAAAGACAGGGGCCUUGUCUUCAAAGAGGCAGGCAGAGCUUGGAGGAUAAAGUCCCCUCGGGCCUCGCCGACUAACAAUGUCAGGCUCUUGUGUUGGAUGACAGCAGUUUUCCACCUCAAAUUCAUUCAACCAAAUGACCUCAAUAGUCUCAAAACGUGGCGUUCCGAGGAGAAACUCAGACAUCAUAUCUGGGUGUUUGAUAGCGGCCAGUCUGGCAGUCGGUCGGGGGAGAGAGGAGAGGAUGUGGGGUUUAGAUUAGAGCGAGGCGAAGAUGAAGACAGGCUUUUAUAACCAGUCUGGAUGUGAGCCGGGGCCAGAGCUCCUGAAGUAAGCUGUUAAAGAAGCCUUUUAAAAGCACAGGGCUUUGAUGCUGGGAGAGGCUAAUCAUUUUGGUUGGCUAUGUAUCGCUUUAGCAGAACUCUAAAGAAGUCCCAGACAGACUGCCCAAGAAAAAGACCCUCAGAUCUGGCAUGGCUCAGAGUACCUACUGCAUUGGACACAAAGAGACACCUCAACCUAGUCAGUCACCAAUCAGUCAUAUGGCAUAGUACCUGUAUGGUUAGUAGAUCUUGGUAGACUAGAAUCUACUCUAUGGUUAGUAGAUCUUGGUAGAAUAUAAUCUACACUAUACCUGUAUGGUUUGUAGAUCUUGGUAGACUAGAAUCUACUCUAUGCCUGUAUGGUUUGUAGAUCUUGGUAGACUAGAAUCUACUCUAUGCCUGUAUGGUUAGUAGAUCUUAGUAGACUAGAAUCUACUCUAUGCCUGUAUGGUUAGUAGAUCUUGGUAGACUAGAAUCUACUCUAAACCUGUAUGGUUUGUAAAUCUUGGUAGACUAGAAUCUACUCUAUGGUUUAUAGAUCUUGGUAGAAUAGACUCUACCAUAUCUGCAUGGUUUGUAGAUCUUGGUAGAAUAGACUCUACCAUAUCUGUGUAGAGCAGUAGGAAGAUGUCUAGUCUCUAUCGACAGCAGCCUGUGCUUAUAAUGGCUCACUGGGAUCUCAGACAGCUCUACCAUACAUCAACACCUUAUUGGCCACCGAACCCCAACAAACCUCUAGCAUGUUUUCACAGCUUGGAAGCCAGAGGUGAGGGGAGGUCUGGGAAGAGCUGGGAUCCCCACGGUAUGCUUUCCCCCUUUUACUUUGGAACACACACACACACACACACACUCACGCACGCACACACACACUCACACACACACACUUGUGGAAUUCACACAAACACAUUUUUGGAAUUCACUCACACACAAAUUAUUUAUGAAAUUAUUUUAUAAAGCCUUUUUUUACAUCAGCAGAUGUCACAAAGUGCUAUACAGAAACCCAGCCUUAAACCCCAAACAGCAAUGCAGAUGUUGAAGCACAUGCAUGUACACACACUUUGGAAUUCACACACAUACCGACUGUCAUGCAUGCUGUCACGCACACACACAUUUUGAAUUUCACACAUGCACACACACACACACACACACACACACACUGAAAGGCUUUCCCCUAGGGGUGUUUGAAGCUGCCUCUCCAGCCCAUGUUUAUUAUUCCUGAGUGAUUCUCUCCACAGAGACAAUAGAUUUGAAGGGGCACAUGACCCUCUUCCUCGAAAUCUUUGUUUAUAUGUUUUCCCCAACAAAGUAAACAUGCCUUGAGAAAACAAGGCAGAUCGGGUUAGGGCUACACGUUACAUCAUGGACACACAGCGAGGCAGUAUAGUCACUAUUUGUGCCUUCUGACAAUUGUGAGGAGUUAACAAUGAACCAUUCUUGCACCUGCUCUAAACUUGCUUGGUAACAUUGGAAACAUUCAUAUUUUCGACCAUAGCAUGUGAUGAAUGGGAAUGUGAAUGUGGUGAGUUUCCAACAUGAUCAAAAGUAGUGCACUACAUAGGGAAUAGGGUGCCAUUUGGGAAACAUUCUAAGAGAACAAGGGCCUCUCGACCACUGAACCAUCCUGCUCAGCCUUCUGCUACCCAUGAAGCACUCUGCCUGCCACCAGGCAGACCCCACACACCUUGCCAUCCUCCCAUCCUCUGGCUCCUGCAGGAGGCCAAGGCACUGACCCACGGAGGGAAACAGACUCACUACAGAUAACUAUUUUAGACCACAACAGGAGCUACUGAUGUUUUACUGUGCGAUGACUGAAAACCUUAUUUGAGUGAAGUAGCUAGAUGUUUCUGUAGCAGUCACUUCAGGGCAGGAAAUCAUUACAUCAAUAUUGGUUAUGAUGUCAUGUAAUAGCAGGCUGUAGCCAUAGCAACAUAACCUAUAGCUAUCGUACCAUAAAGCCUUACAUUUAAGAACUACAUAUUUCAUUUGUUGUCUAGUACUGUGAGGUGAGGACUCAGAGUAUCUCAAUGUGAGCUCUGUGAGAGGAGAGAAGGUCACACAGAGUGUCUGCAGCUGCAGUCCAGGAUGAAUGGUGG
rnacentral:lncRNA from 1 species